UACGAAGGGAGCUAGCGUUGUUCGGAAUCACUGGGCGUAAAGCACACGUAGGCGGAUGUGUCAGUCAGGGGUGAAAUCCCGGGGCUCAACCUCGGAACUGCCUUUGAUACAGCACGUCUUGAGUCCGAUAGAGGUGGGUGGAAUUCCUAGUGUAGAGGUGAAAUUCGUAGAUAUUAGGAAGAACACCGGUGGCGAAGGCGGCCCACUGGAUCGGUACUGACGCUGAGGUGCGAAAGCGUGGGGAGCAAACAGG
rnacentral:rRNA from 1 species